GGACAGGGACAGGGACAGGGACAGAGAUCGGAUAAUCAACAGAGGCAAGAGAAGAAGAGGAGACAGGUUGAUGCACGGGAGCAAUAGAGAAGAUGGGGGCGAUGAGAGCUCAGAGGAGAGUGUAAAUGAUGAUGAAGACGAUGAAGACGACGAUGGAGGUGCCGUAGGUAGCUCCAUGAGGAUGCUCCCACCAAAUCCUUCCUCCCUAUCUUCAUCUUCUAUGUCGAAUCAUCACCAUCGGAAAAGUUUCCCCCCGCCGGCCAAAGUUUUUAGAACCACGACGGCGACAGCCCCGUGGAAGGCACCCGAUGAGAUGAUUGGCGUUUCGGUGCCUAGAAAAGCUCGGUCAGCGUCUACAAAGAGGUCUCAUGAAUGGGCUUCAAGUUGUGGAGUUGGUACUGAGCAAAUUCAUCGGCAAGCGUCCACAUCUCCGGUGAGAUCGAGUGGACCAAGCGUUGCAGCGAUGUUGGCUUCAGCAUCCGCGUCCCCUGCUCCAGUCUCGCCGUCUUCUUCUAAUGCCUCAGUUAAGAAGAAGAUGAAGCCUAAUGGGCCGAAGCAGAGACCGCCGAAAUCCUCGUCUAAGUUUACUUCCUCAACUCAGGAGGAGAUUGAGGUCGCUGAGGUGUUGUAUGGCUUAAUGAGGCAGCCUCAGGGACCAACAAAGCAAGAAGUAGUUGCAAAUGAUUCAAUGAAGUUUGAUUCGAAGGAAGUGAGCAACAAUAAGUCCACUGGUGAUGCCAAAUCCAGAGUUUCCUCGCCGAUCUCCAACUCACCUUCCCCCAUACCUCAGUCUUCUUCAAUUCCUCCCACUAAUUCUAGCUCAUCUGCUACUCCCAUGUCUGCAAUUGCGCCAAAGAGAAAAAAGCCGCGACCUGUCAAGUACGAAGAUGAGAAUCCAUCAGUUUAUCCUGUGCGGAAUAGUCCCAUUGCGUCAACAAUCAAGGUCGAUAUCGAUCAGCCUCCCAAAAUCGAAAAUUGUUCUCCCAAUUUGGCAAAGAAUUCAGGAUCCGCUGCUGAAAAUGGCGUCGUUCCACAAGAUACGACAACCAGUAAAGCUGUACUGGUUUCGACAGAAGCCCAGCCGCAGCUGCAGCCGGAGCAAGUGAAGUCUGAGAGCAUUUCGUUGUUGGAUUCGAGACCACCGGUGCAAGAAUCAGAUUGUAAAGAUUUAGUUGUGAACAAAGAGGAGCCUCGAUCGCCGAAGAAGGAAUCUUCUAAUGUUGGUCUAAGAUUGGAUGAUGAUAGUGAGAGUGUGACAGCGACUAAAGCUAAUUCGGCGGUUUCUGAAGUUGAAACCCAGCGAGAAGAGAAGUUCCAGAUAGAUCUGAUGGCUCCACCUCCAGUAAGAUCAUCUCCAGAAAGGGACAGUGAGAUUGGUUUUGUGGCCAUAGAUCCUAAACCUAGAAUCACAGAUGUGGAAACGGAAAUGAAAGCGGCGGUCAAAGAUGAUGAUAAGGCAGUGAAAAUUGGAAAAGAUGUGAAUAUGGAACGAGAGGAGAAAAGGACAAAAGUGGUUGCUGAAGAAGCUGAAUGCCAUAAACCAGUUGUUAUUGCUAAUAAAGAGAGGAAUAUUGAUCUUCAGCUUGAUUUGGAGAAACCUGAUGGUGUCAUCGUUGCUGGAAGUGGCAACAAGGUGCACCAAGAUGUUCAGAAACAACAGCAGCAACCGCAACCACACACUGAGAAAGCUGCUCAAUCAAAUUCUCUUCCUCUACCUAUGUCAAUGGCUGCCUGGCCCGGUGGGCUUCCUCACAUGGGAUAUAUGGCACCUCUACAAGGAGUUGUAUCCAUGGACGUGAGCACUGUAUCUUCUGCAGCUAUACAGCCUCCACAUUUGCUUUUUAGUCAACCAAGGCCGAAGAGGGGUGCAACGCAUUACUACAUUGCACGGAAUAUUCAUUAUCACCAGCAAUUUACAAGGAUGAAUCCUUUCUGGCCAGCAGCUGCUGGUUCUGCUUUACAAUUUGGGGCAAAGGCCUGCAACGUCAAUGUGGUUCCCUCAACAGAUUUGCAUGGCAGUAGGGGUUUGCACUCUGUGCAAGACAAGGGUCAGGGUCUAGCCAUCUUUCCUGGUCACACGGGUAAGGAGAAGAGCUCUCAAACUUCAAACACUGCAGACGCUGCACAGAGGAAGCAGAUUUUGGUUCAGCAGCCUCUGCCUCCAGGAGCACCUGCUAAUAUCUUGCAUGGUCCUGCCUUCAUCUUCCCUUUGAGUCAACAGCAAGCGGCAGCUGCUGCUUCCGCUCGACCUGGUACAGUGAAGUCUCCUGCUGUUGCAGGUAGCACAACUUCAUCAAGCGCCUCUAAUUCUGCCUCAAUCAGUGCCACAACACCAGCGGUAGCUGGUGCCACAGCGAUGAGCUUCAACUACCCAAAUAUGUCCGGCAAUGAAACCCAGUACUUGGCAUUUUUGCAGAACAGUGCAUACCCAAUUCCAAUUCCUGCACAUGUAGGGGCGGCGCCAGCUUAUCGAGGAACGGGGGCAAUGCCUUUUUUCAAUGGUUCUUUCUAUUCUUCUCAAAUGAUCCAUUCUCCUCAGCUUCAGCAACAGCAGCCACCAGUCCCCCACUCUCAACAAGGCCAACAGGGUCAUCACAACCCAAGCAUUUCCAGUAGCUCCUCAUCAUCCCAGAAGCAUUUGCAGAACCAGCAGCAGAGGCUGCAUGGCAAUGGGAUUAAUGGUGGUAGUGGAAAUUUGCAAGGCUUUCCCAACUCGAAAAACCAACAACCACAGUCGACUCAGAUUCAGCAGCGGCAGCAGAUGCAGAACCAGAAUGUCCCUUAUCAAGCUCGGCAACUUGACGGUGAAUUAGGCGGUGAAGAUAGCCCUUCCACUGCUGAUAGUCGAGUCUCUCGUGCAAACAUGAGUAUCUACGGUCAGAAUUUUGCAAUGCCUAUACAACCACCAAACUUCGCUUUGAUGACUCCACCAACAAUGGGUGGUGCCACUGCAAGUGGCAAUCCAGGUGAAAGGAAGCAGCAGCAACCACAACCACAGGGUUCAAGGGUUGGGAUUGAACCUUCUCAGGCUUUUGCCAUGCCCUUUGCCUCCAUUAAUGGAGCCACUACUGCUCCCAGCCUUGAUAUUUCGUCAAUUGCACAAAAUCAUGCUAUUCUUCCUAGUCUCCCAGAGGCUGCAAGGCAUGGAUAUCAUGUCAUGGCAGCUGCUGCAGUUGCCCAAGCGCAGCAGAAGAAGAAUUACCGUGCAGCUGAAGAAAGGAAAACCGGUGGAACUGAUGGUUCAAAUGUAGAAGAAGAGAGAAAGGUCAUACCAGGAGGAAAGGCUCAGGCAAAUGCUGGGCAAUCAAUUGCCUUUUCCCGGCCAGAUUUAACAGAUACAUCUGUUUCGACAAUUCCAGGCAAUACUGUGAUUGAUAGCUCAGCACGAACUCUUAACCUUGGUUCUGCUUCUGCUCGGGCCACUGGUUCUGUUAUGCCAGCCUCUAUCAGCACUGUAAAUACUUCUAAUAUGCAGCAGCAACUGCAGCGGAAUCAGCAGCAGCAGCAGCAGCAGCAGUAGUCUACCACCGACACCACAACAACAGUGGCAGCAGUGGGUGGCGUCGAGGAAUCUUUCUGGCGAUGGUGGUUCUCAGUGGAUGGCGCCGAGUAAUCUGGCUUCUAUCGACGCUACCUGUUUCUUAUCUACUGCUGCUUUUUGUAUGGCAUUGUCAGAAGCCUAUUCUAUAUUGGAGAGUGAGCUGACAUUCCUUCCUGAUGAUGCUGAUGCAGGUUCAAGGCCACCAUACACACUGCUUUCUAAAUCAUCCCAAGUAUUAAUUCAUGACAGGGAAUUUAAUUGUUGGCAGAUUUUACAUCUGUUUGGAGGGUAUUAAACUGCCUGUAACAUUAAUAACAGACUUUUAGUAUUAAAUUUGGCCUCAUCAAAUGAUUUGCUAUUAUUCCUGAGUAAAGUUCAACUUUAGAUGAUGCUGCGUGACUUUAUUCAGCUUGAAAUAUUCUAUGAAGGGAAAUGUCACAAGUUUAUUUCUGUUUUGAUGGAAGGCUUUUUAUUUAGGAUUUGGCUCGACAAUAAGAGAGCUGUCUAUGUCAGUCUCCUUGAAUUGAUAUGUGGAGUCCUUGUUGUGGUAAUUUCAAUAUACAAAAUGCAAUAUCAUCUCCGUUCAGUUCUUAUAAAAGGAUGUGUUUAUUGGGAAAAUCAGUUAAACUAUUGUUUGUUUCAUGGUCAAGAUAAGAAGCAAAAGCUGCACCAACUACCAAGUGAGGAUGGAUAUAUUCCAUCAAGGCUAACUAGGCAUGCAAUGGUAUAGUACUGUGCAACUAUUUCUCCCUUGUAUCUUCUUGAGUGAUGCUCUUUCUAACUGGAAUUUUUCAUUAUUAUGGAAUAAUGAUAGAUUUGAUGCAAUUAUAGGUGCCUCAUAACAUCAGUCAUCUCUUGUUGUUUACAAGAGUUUCAGUUUGAAUAUUCAUUCUUUUCACCAAUCAUGCAGUUUUCCUUUCCACAAAAGAUAUGGAUGCACCAACCAUUUCUAAUUUGAUUCACUAUUGAUAUCCCUACUGAAUUUCCUGUGCUUUUUUUAUUUUCAGGAUCAUAGCAUCAUACUACAGCUGUUGUUUUCAUCAGAAAAAGAUCUCGCAGUUUCACUUUGCUACUGUGGAUGGAGUUCAUUAUAACACUGCUGCCACUUGCUUGGGUAAUUGGGAACUUUGUGGCUUUCUCGACCGCCUAGAUUUUGAGGCUGGUAGGAUGGAAAAUGAGAGAUGAAAAGAAAAUGGCCAUCGCAGAACAUGAAGACCUCUGUAUUUGUUAUUAGUGAUUAGUGAUUACAGACUUCAGCUUUUGAUUCUUCAUGUACACGUUUUGGUUUUCAGUUGAAUCCUCAGUUACAGGUAAGGUUCCGUCAUGUGGGAAAUCAGAGGGAUUGGGUUUUGCUAUUGUGGAUGCAAAUUGUAUUCAUGGAAGAAAGUUAGAUUGACAUUAUACCCAUCAGAUUCCUCACUUCCAAGAGUCCUCCAAUUGAGUCAAACUGCCAUGAGAAUGAAUUCAUUGAUUUGCGCUUUAUGAGAAGCAAUAAUGGCAUUUGUAUUUGUGCAGAUAGUAUUACAAUACAUGAUAAGAAGGGUGAAGACAACAGAUUGAGAAAAAUAUAUCAUAGGAAUGGAGAUCGUUACAUUCAAAACCAUAUUUUCAUGUAUCUAUCCUAGCAUGUAUUUAUUGGUGCAACGUAUCAAUGGAUAGCGGUCUUCCAAUGGAAGAAUGAACUUUGAAAGCUAAGCACGUGACGCAUUGUUCUCCGCUGACGCAUUGUUCUCCGCUGGUUUGCCGCGAUGAAUUAAGGUAUUGAGCAGAUUGAUUGCAUGUAAAGAGGCAUUGCGCAGCAACUUGCACCAUUCUUGGUAGGAGCUAUAUGCUGCUUUUGCAAAGCAACAAAACCAUAUGGCUAAAACGAUCCACCCAAACCAUGGGGCGAGAAUGAAUAGAAGCAAAAUGGUUGCAAGAAUUCAAAAUAAGAUGCAUGAGUCGCCAAUAAUUACAUUUGCUGAUUGGUAUUUGAUUUGUAUGAUGCAAUGCAAGGUAGAGAUGUAGAGAGGAAAGGAAGUUAACUGUGAUUAUUUUCUGAUCAGCAUAACAUGUGUAUGGUGAGGGGGUGUUCACUUUUUCCUCUCUCCCCCACCCCCCCCAACAACACUUCCCUUCCUAACCCUGCCCCGCACUACCGCAUUUACCUUCAAGUGUAUAUAUUCAAUUAUUUUAUAAAUAUUAUACAAUAUAAACU
rnacentral:misc_RNA from 1 species